rnacentral:misc_RNA from 1 species
ACACGUAAAGGCAUCUCCAUUGCAGAUUGCGCGCCGCUCCGUAUUCCCUCUCCUCCUGAGCCCCGCCUCGACCGGCCAUCUUUGACAGCACCGUGCAACUCGGCAGCCGCAACGUCUCUCUUUCUCUCGCCGUGCUGUAAGUGCCUGCCUGUGUCUGUGUAGUCGUUCCUGCGAGUACGCUGGAGGUGGAGUGCCUCCGUUGCCUGCUUUGUGUAUGUGUGCCGCGGCUGCUGCGUGCACUGGCGACGCGGUGAUCUCGCUCGCUUCCAUUAUGGUGUCACUUCCGACAGCGUCAGCCAAGCGACGUCGGCGUUUUCGUUUCUUUUUGUUGUUGUUUUGUGGCUCUUUACAUCACUGCAGGCCAUGCCGUCCCAACCCGGCUCUGCGGAGGAGCUGUACGGGCUCGUGUGUGCUCUGCAAAAGCAGCAACAGCUGACACAGGUCGACCUCCGAGCGGUGCAACGGCGCACCGAGUCGCUACGGCAGGAGCUGCACUGUCAGGAAGCACUUAUUGCCGAAGAGCGGGCGAGGCGUGAGGAGCUCGCCGCAAAACACACGCAAGGCGAUGCCGAGCGCCGGCUUGCGGAGGCGCACGCAAGGGGAGCUGCACGGGCCACUGCCGACGCGGCGCAGGAGUUGCGCUGUGCGAGACGGGCCUUUCUGCAGAAGUGCCAUGCCCACGUUCUCUCGAUCGGGAAAGGGCCAACAGAUCCUAGGAGGCCCGGCGCGCCCGUUGCGCCAAGAAGCUGCACUCCUUUUUCCUCUGCUGCCGAUGAGUCGUGCUCAGGCUCCUUAAGUGCGGUGGGGGCCGAGCCACGCCGUGAGGCGACGCUCAUGCCGGCUGCAGCUGUGCAUCAGCUGCUCUUCGUGCUGAGAGAAAAGCUGACGCGGUGCAUCGAGGUGGGCGCGACGGAGGGGAGCUCAAGUGAGCAGCCUCGUGACUGCAGACCUUCCGACGAGCAAGGCGCAGCCGUUAAAGCGGUCACCAGCGUGAUGUCGCCGCUUACCGCUGAGAAAAGUCCUCCCUGGCCACCAUCAAAAUCCGUGACGGAUGCGUGUGUGCAUAGCGAAGCUGAUGGCCGAAGCUCCCCCCGUGAAAAGAAGCGUAUCGGCUUUGCACCGGAGUGCUGCUUCGAGCGGGUGACGGCCGUCCCCGCCGCCAACGUGAACCGUGGCACGAGAAAAACGUGGCUGACGGAGGGUGCACCUGGUGCCUGCGGCAGCGCUGCAGUUGUGCCACCGUCUGCUAACGUAACGCUCGAUGGCGACAAUCACCCUUCGAACGCCUGCCUGCGAAACGGGUCACGCCCGCGCACACAACGCUGCAGCGGCCACUUCACCGUGCGCGUUGCCUCGCGCUCUGCGACACUCGUUGCUGAGGCCGCAGCCGUGGGAGCAAAGCGCCAGCGCGUCUCCGAAGCCGCGACCGCCACCCAGUCAUCACCCCCGAAAGCCGCAAGAGCGGAUGGCGAUAAGGGCGUUCCUGCCUCCAGGGCGCCACAGGGCGCCAGUGCCGCCGCUGCCUUUUCACCCGCGUACUCGAACAAUCGUGACCGUCUUGUUGCCCCAGUAGACUUGCUGUCGCCGCGGUCUGCUGAGGCUCGGCGCAACGGCAGCAGUGGAUCGAGCCGACGCACAGUCUGGACAUGGACGCGCGGCACGUCGCGUGAGCAAUGAGGCGGUAGAGGGGGAGGGGUAGCGAAACAAAAAACAAAACGUCUGAGUUGGUCAGAGCUGGGGAGCCAUGGCGCCGGCGAGCGAUACGGGGCGUUGUGCUAGAGAUUCGGUGAUGUGGCCCUUUUCUUUUUUUUUUUUUCGUCUUUUGCGUCUUCUCGUUCCCUGUUUGUGAGUUCUGUUUAACUCCCCUUUGGUGGCUUGUGCGCCUUCUUUCACUUGCCGUCAUCUGCUACCGUCUUCAGAUAAUACCAAGAGAUUGCCUGACUCGUUGAGGGGCGGGGCAUGGAGGGGUGCUCUACCCUCCUGCACGCUCAGUUGUUGAACUGCUGUGCCAUGCCCCACUCCCUUUCCCCUCGCGCGCUGCGAGCGCGUAGCGGCACCGCUCUUUUUGAUCCCUUGGCGUCGCUUCUCCAGGCUGCUGCUCAGGGCGGCUUCUGCUUGGUGUUUUCUUCUGCUAUCCGUGCUUCGUCGCUGUUUCCAUGUGCGCAGUACUCGAUCACACAUACAAAACAGAAAAAAAACGUGCGCAGUGGACGGGGGCGUAGAGGCCCCGUCGGGUUUCGGCUCUCGAUCUAUCAUCUUG